CUUAAUUUAUUUUCGAUUAAAAAAUGGAUCAAGAUUACAUCAAAAAAUGUUCUGAACCACCUCCUUAUAACCAAUCUACAACAAUGCCUGUGCAGCAACAAUUAGAUUUUAGAAAUACACCUCAAUAUCAAAACAGCAAUCAACCCCAGCAAUUUUACACUUCAGCUACUUUAACUGGAAAUCUACCUUACGCAAAU
rnacentral:lncRNA from 1 species